UACGUAGGGUGCAAGCGUUGUCCGGAAUUAUUGGGCGUAAAGAGCUCGUAGGCGGUUUGUCGCGUCUGCUGUGAAAACUCGGGGCUUAACCCCGGGCCUGCAGUGGGUACGGGCAGACUAGAGCGCGGUAGGGGAGACUGGAAUUCCUGGUGUAGCGGUGAAAUGCGCAGAUAUCAGGAGGAACACCGGUGGCGAAGGCGGGUCUCUGGGCCGUAACUGACGCUGAGGAGCGAAAGCGUGGGGAGCGAACAGG
rnacentral:rRNA from 1 species